UCGACAGUAACGUGUCUGUAAUAAGACUUAUUACAGACGCGUAGAAUAAGCGUCUGUAGUAAGAAUCUAACUACAGAUAUGUUUACUUAAAUACGUCCACAAAGAUUAUGGUCAUAAGCCCCCGCCCCCCACUUUAUGGAAGUAGAAUGGAAGGCCCACCAUCUUCACUGGAUAACAUUACUAGUGGUUUCACUCUUUGAUCUUUGAUGUACAAUUGAGAUAAGGUCGACUCGAUGUAUUCUCAAAAUAGUUGGUGAAGAACCAAAUAAAGUCACUCGGUCGGUCAAUGCAACCAAGUCCUCCCUAUAAAUACAUAUCUCCUCACAGUUGCAAUGCCUUCUGACCACCAAGAAUGGUAGCAGAGGAUGGAGACAUCCUAGAGCAUAUGGACUGCCAUCACUUUAAUUUGUUGUGUAUGCUUCUAUGGACUGGGACGUGGAAGGCACUCAGUAGACAAGAUGAUGUCAGCAAUUGACUUGCUCAACAUGUCUUCCAUUCCCUCUCUACAUGUAAUUGGCUAGGUCCUCAAACAAGCCCGUUGUAACAGGUAACAUCGACUAAGUUGUACAUUUGUGCGCGACCAACACAUUCAAUCGGAGCAGUGACAAAUGAAGCAAGCGACUGGUUGCACUUGCAUCUCUGUAGGGACCCUGAUGCCAUCAGAGAAUGAUAGUACAAUGUAAGAGCACCUUGGAGUUAUUGGGCUUUUAUUGUUGCUUCACAAGCCUCGACCUAAUGAUUCGCGAAAUAGGCAGUCUUGGAUUGUUGUAUAUAUCUACCUGCAAUGCGUAGGUCCAUCUUCUAAUCAGAUAGAUCAGUUGCCAGAUAGAGCAGUUGCCUUUACAGGGAACUAUGCAUGCCUUGAGCCCAUGAGUGGUGGUGCCGUGAAUGCUUAAAUGCCAAUGUACACCAUCCAUAAUAGUAAUUGUGUGCACCUUAAGACCUAAAUUGAUAUUUGUAUAAAAAAACAAAAGGAGAUCUUAGAAUAAAGUGUGUAAUAAGCAGCAUCGAUAACAUGUUGCUGAAAAUGGUACAAAAAUGGUCCUAAAAAAACAAAACCACCAAAACACUUGUGUUCUGCAGGGAGUUUGGUGCCACAGACUGCAAAUUGUCCUUUGACAUUUGAUUUGACACCAUGACAUGCUCAAUCUGAUGGUAGUGUCAUUUCGGGAACAAAAAUUUGAAGAGAUGCCAUAUAAGGAAGAUCUCAAGUUUCAGUGCUAUAUUCGGAACAAGUUUUUUGGUGUCAAAUCAGGAAUUUUCUACAAAUAAAAUUGGAAAGAGGACACUCAAAUGUAGAGAAAUCAAAAUCAAUGUUUAUUUUUUGUUUUCCAAUCCCUUCUUGGUAAAGACGUCCAAGGCCACAACCUCCAAUGAUUUCCUUGCCUUGCAGAUUUUUUUCCCUUGUGCUAGCUCUCACGCUGCAGUGUCACCCAAAACUGCAGCUAGUAUGACCCCUAAAUAUAGCCUGCAUAAAAGUGGUAUUUUGUUUUUUGUCAAUAAUAAUGUCAUUAUGAGUACACAAAAUUGCCCAAAUAGUAGCAACAACACACCACAAAAAUCAAAUUUCUUUCCACCCGUGUCUCAGGAGAUGUCCAUUGGUAUUUAAGCUAGAUCAGUGUCCUGGUUCUAAGUUCCCAGCAUCUCAACUGAACACCAUUGAAGAUACUAGUACUGGAAAUAUUUCUCUUAUUUAAUCUUUGUUGGAUAUCUUGUUGAGAAUGGUCCUGCAGGUGGUUGAGAAACUAAAGCCGCUGAGUCAAAUCUUUGCAACUCUGCUACUACAUGUUGUCUAUAAAUAACUACCUCUUCCUCAUAGUCAGUGUGCCUUGUGACCAAUGAGAAUGCUAGAUAAUACUGACUGCCACAUCACUACACCACAGCCUAAAUAUAGCGUCGAACGGUGGGUCGUUAUAAGCUGUUUCAACGACUUACGGUCUGACGUUAUAAACUUAUAACGACAGAUAUAUCAGCCGUUGAUACUGGC
rnacentral:lncRNA from 1 species